UGGUGACUAUGAUGAUGAUGAUGAUGAUGACGAUGAUGAUGAUUAUCAUUAUCAUCAUUAUUAUCAUCAGUAGUA
rnacentral:pre_miRNA from 1 species